rnacentral:rRNA from 1 species
UACGGGGGGGGCAAGCGUUGUUCGGAAUUACUGGGCGUAAAGGGCUCGUAGGUGGCCAACUAAGUCAGACGUGAAAUCCCUCGGCUUAACCGGGGAACUGCGUCUGAUACUGGAUGGCUUGAGAUUGGGAGAGGGAUGCGGAAUUCCAGGUGUAGCGGUGAAAUGCGUAGAUAUCUGGAGGAACACCGGUGGCGAAGGCGGCAUUCUGGACCGAUAUUGACGCUGAGGAGCGAAAGCCAGGGGAGCAAACGGG